rnacentral:lncRNA from 10 species
UGGAUGGUUGGCCUCUUGGUUACAAGCAUGUACAUUAUGGCUCUCUCCUUGCCUGGAACUGGAUAUGAGAAAUGCUUGAAUUAAGAUCUGUGAAUUAUCUUAUUUUCUUGGGAGAGAUUCGUCAAAGAAAUGAAGGCUCCUCUGCAAGACAGGAUGUGCCCACUAACAAGAGUUAAAUAAAAACUUCAGAAUUCAGUAUGCAUUACAUGAAUCAAUAUAUAAAAAGAGGCAGAAGGAUGCAGAUUGCCCAUACUUCAUAGCAGAGCAACAGGAGGGACUUAGGGACAAAAAGGUCAAAGGCAAGGAAGACUGAGGAAGCUAAGUUACUGGCCAUAUGUUUAAUAAAUAUAAGCUUAAUGGCAGUGAAUGUAUUAAUGUCAGCGAAGACAAGUCUAUGAAGGUAAACAGGCACAGAGAGGCUAAGAGUCUUGCCAAAGGCCACAGAGGAAGGAAGAGACUAAAUCUGGAACAAACUUUCUAUUCUCCAUUUCCAGAAGAAACCACUAAACCAUGCUUCCUCUUGUCAUGGAAGCUUAAAAUAUUUGGACUGUCUGUGGAUCCAGGGAGGAAUUUCAGAAGAGCCAGGAUUAGUCAAUCAAAUUAAACUCAAUAUCACCCAAAUAAAGUUGGUCAGGUCAAACUACGUUUAAAUAAGAAUUAAAAUGCCAUUUGUCCAUCACCUAAUGGCUCAAUUUGCUCCUGCCUUGGGUGUGCACACCCUGCUCUGGAACAGACCAGAGCUCUAAAGAAGUGACUGGAAGUUGUGAAUGUCAUUGUUAUGAAGCUUCAAAUUUGCUCUCCUCUUUAGGACACAGACAUGGCAUUAGAGAAGGGCAGAAAACUGCACUUGGCUGUGCAUAGAGAACACUAGAGACCUCUUGUGCAAGAGAGGGGACUAGGUUGCGUAGUGUAAUGAGAGAAGCAUGGGUUUUGAGACCGCUACAAUGUCUGUGUCUUCUUGGCCAACAUUUCAGUAAGAGUAGUAAGCAUAUCUCCACAAUAGGGUUA